UACGUAGGGUGCAAGCGUUGUCCGGAAUUAUUGGGCGUAAAGAGCUUGUAGGCGGUUUGUCGCGUCUGCUGUGAAAUUUCGGGGCUCAACCCCGAACCUGCAGUGGGUACGGGCAGACUAGAGUGUGGUAGGGGAGACUGGAAUUCCUGGUGUAGCGGUGAAAUGCGCAGAUAUCAGGAGGAACACCGAUGGCGAAGGCAGGUCUCUGGGCCACUACUGACGCUGAGGAGCGAAAGCGUGGGGAGCGAACAGG
rnacentral:rRNA from 1 species